GUGCCCAUGGUGUAGCGGUAACACUGCAGCUUGUGGAGCUGUCAUCUCGGGUUCGAUCCCCGAUGGGCACC
rnacentral:tRNA from 1 species